GACCGUCAACAAACUCCCCCAAGCUUACCCUUUGCUCGUCCCUGAGCAAAUAGCUAAACUCAGAUGGAUCAGGAGUUGCUUCGAUGUUUUCUUUCCUGAUAGGCACACAUGCUUUUACAUAAAAAUUCUUCCAGAUUAAAGUGAAGUGUUAUGGAGUUUAGAACCUGCACUUAAGUCUUAAGUAAUCGAAAGACAAAAUAGUUAAGUCAAGCACUAUCCCUCCUGUUUAUACUUCACCUUUGUUCCAGAGUUUUUCAUAGGUUUUCAAAAUAAAACUCAGAGUUUCCAGCAAUGAUUCUCUCAGGUCUCUCUAUAUGUGGUAUUUGUGGAUCCUUACCAUGAUAUCACUUGCCUAUAGCUAAUGGAUUAUUUAAGUGGAGCUCAUAGGAGUGAUAAACAGCUCAUACAUAUGUUGUCUAAUCGAGCCAUGGAUCCAAAGGAACUUAGCAUAUAAUUAAAUCAAGAUGUGCAUGUGUGAUGGAGUAAAUGAUAGUGAAAAUGCAUAAGUGAUAAUAAAACUUAGUUCUCAUUGCUCCUUAUAUUGCUAUCUCUCCUUCUCUUUGAUCUUUGCCUUGGGAGAACAUGGGCUAUCUCUUUUUCUUCUUUUUUUUUCAGGUGGGUAGUGGAUACCCCUAAUUCUACUGUCAGACACUUGUCCAUUUUUUCCGCUCAAGUGGGCAUCUUUGUACCCCUAAUUCUACUUCGGACACUUGUCCAUUUUUACCUCUCGUCUCACUCUUUUUCUUUCUUUUUCGAGGUUCCGGGCACUUGCCCCUUUUUUAUUUCCUCGUAUAUUUUUGCAUAACCCAUGCCUCUUCUGCAUUGAAUCUUUUUAGAGAGAGAGAAUAACAAUAUUUGGGACAGUGAGUGAUAAUAUAUUUUUAGCAAUUUUAAUGAUUGAUGAUGAAUGCUGUGGUAGAUGUAAGGGUCUACACAGCUCGAUCAAACUCAAUGUGAAUAUAGUAAAAGAUGUUAUAGCAAGUAUGGCUGUGGUAGGUAGUUUUGUUAUGCUAGGAACUCAUCAUAUGAUUUGUAAGUUUUUAAAAUAAAUCUCUAGAACUUAGUGUAGUAGGAACAAGAUAAACAGUAGCUCAACUUUAUAUCAUGCCUUUCUCUUACCUAGACUUUAGUGUUAUGCUUCCCAAAGAUAGUAAUUUCAGUUUUAGUAAUUCCUGGAAGAAUUCUAAUAUAAAAGCUAGGUACUUGUAAGUAAGCAAACAGAGCAACUGUUCAUCAUUUCCAUCAUGCAUAUUUUUGGUCUUUUUAUUUUUUCUAGAGAUUAAACUUAGUAGAAAAAUAAAACACACUUAUCUACACACUCUUUUUAUUUUGUUUUCAUGUUUAUAAAGUGCAGU
rnacentral:lncRNA from 1 species